UACGGAGGGUGCGAGCGUUAAUCGGAAUCACUGGGCGUAAAGCGCACGUAGGCGGCUUGGUAAGUCACAUGUGAAAGCCCUCGGCUCAACCGGGGAACUGCGUGUGAUACUGCCUUGCUUGAGUCCUGGAGAGGGUGGCGGAAUUCCCGGUGUAGGAGUGAAAUCCGUAGAUAUCGGGAGGAACACCAGUGGCGAAGGCGGCCACCUGGACAGGUACUGACGCUGAGGUGCGAAAGUGUGGGGAGCAAAC
rnacentral:rRNA from 2 species